rnacentral:rRNA from 1 species
UACGAAGGGGGCUAGCGUUGCUCGGAAUCACUGGGCGUAAAGGGUGCGUAGGCGGGUCUUUAAGUCAGGGGUGAAAUCCUGGAGCUCAACUCCAGAACUGCCUUUGAUACUGAAGAUCUUGAGUUCGGGAGAGGUGAGUGGAACUGCGAGUGUAGAGGUGAAAUUCGUAGAUAUUCGCAAGAACACCAGUGGCGAAGCGGCUCACUGGCCCGAUACUGACGCUGAGGCACGAAAGCGUGGGGAGCAAACAGG